CUAMCAUGCAGUCGACGCUGAAGCCUGGUGCUUGCACUGGGUGGAUGAGUGGCGAACGGGUGAGUAACACGUGAGUAACCUGCCCUUGACUUCGGGAUAAGCCCGGGAAACUGGGUCUAAUACUGGAUAUGACCUCCUGCCGCAUGGUGGGGGGUGGAAAGAUUUAUCGGUUGGGGAUGGACUCGCGGCCUAUCAGUUUGUUGGUGGGGUAAUGGCCUACCAAGACGACGACGGGUAGCCGGCCUGARAGGGUGACCGGCCACACUGGGACUGAGACACGGCCCARACUCCUACGGGAGGCAGCAGUGGGGAAUAUUGCACAAUGGGCGCAAGCCUGAUGCAGCGACGCCGCGUGAGGGAUGACGGCCUUCGGGUUGUAAACCUCUUUCAGUAGGGAAGCAGCCCUUUUWGGGUGACGGUACCUGCAGAAGAAGCGCCGGCUAACUACGUGCCAGCA
rnacentral:rRNA from 1 species